AUACGUAGGGGGCAAGCGUUAUCCGGAUUUACUGGGAGUAAAGGGAGCGUAGACGGUAAAGCAAGUCUGAAGUGAAAGCUCGGGGCUCAACCCCGGAACUGCUUUGGAAACUGUUUUACUGGAGUGCAGGAGAGUUAAGCGGAAUUCCUAGUGUUGCGGUGAAAUGCGUAGAAAUUAGGAGGAACACCAGAGGUGAAGGCGGCUUACUGGACUGUAACUGACGUUGAGGCUCGAAGGCGUUGGGAGCAAACAGGAUUAGAUACCCUGGUAGUCCACGCGGUAAACGAUGAUCAAUAGGUGUCGGCGGCCAUAGGCGGUCGGUGCCGCAGCAAACGCAAUAAGUGAUCCACCUGGGGAGUACGUUCGCAAGAAUGAAACUUAAAGGAAUUGACGGGG
rnacentral:rRNA from 1 species